UUUCACAUCUAACACCCUGUACAGUUAGACUACUGUACUGUAUUUUUACUCUUUUUCUUUCACCCCAUAUUUGCUUCCAAGUGCUGAUAUUAUGUGGUACCGCAUAAAGUUUUCACUGAUGAUGUUUUUUUUUCCUCGAGCGUUGGGUGGUCCGUGAACGCACCACGGUUGUGUGCCGUGACUCCCAUUCCGUGUGCUGAUGGAUCACUGAUUAGCGGCCCCCAGUGAGGUUCCUCCAGGUUCCUGGAGCAGAUGAUACUACGUGUGAUCCCUCCUCCCUCCCGCUUCCGUCCCUUUGCACCCACCUUGUACCCGCUCUCCUCCGACUCCUCCAGCAAGACUCCUCCAGCCUCUCCAAGCUCCUUCUCCUCCCCCCGGCAGGAGGUGGGCGAGGAAGGGGGGGACACAGAAGCGGAGCGGUGACGAGAAAGAAAAGAAGAUGGAAGAGCAAAGUCCAGCGUGAAGAAGGCGCGCGUGGAACCAGCAGUCCCGCGUGGCCAAGGCCAUCCGCCUCUGUCACUUCGUGUGCCCCCCUGUGUGCACGGGG